ACCGAGUCUGCGGGGCUAGACGCUGACCGCCCGGGCCAGCACCUAGGCGGGCGGGAGCUGUGCGGCCCAGGGUUCGCGCGGGCCGGGUAGAGGCUCGAGCCAGGACCCCCGAGCGUGAACCCCGGAGCCGGCGGCGCUGGGGCCAGAGGGGCCGGGCGGGAGGUGAUGGCGGAGGCGAAGGGGCGACGGGACCUGGGCCUGGCCCGUGUGUGUCCUCAGAGGCCUGGCGCCGGCCGUCGCUGUACGGUGAGCCCCAGGGAGGCGGAUCUGGGCCCCGAGAAGGACACCCACCUGGAUUUGCCCCAUAGGCCCGGCCCGGGCCCCUCGGGAGCAGAACAGCCUUGGUGAGGUGGACAGGAGGGGACCUCGUGAGCAGACGCGUGCGCCAGCGACAGCAGCCCGCCCCGGCCUCUCAGGAGCCGUGGGGCAGAGGCUGCGGAGCCCCAGGAGGGCCGGAGCCCUCAUGACUUCAGUGACCUGCUUCUGCCCCUCUAGGUCUAUCAGCCACAGUCUCUGCAAGUUUCCAAGAGCAGCAGAAAAUGAACACAUUGCAGGCAGCUGCUGGAGGAGGUGAAGUGGCAUCGAUGUCAUCUUUGAAAAGUUUCUACUUUGUCCCUUAAUGCCACCCUAACGUAUGAGCCUCUGCUUCAGAGGUUUGCAAGCCUGGCUGCGUAUUAGAGUCACCUAGGAGCUUAAGUGGCUUUUGAUGCAUUUCCAAGUAGAAUAAGGUCACACCUGGGUCCUGAGCUGGCGCCAUCACCGGAGACGCCAGGUGAUGUCCAUUCAUCAGAAAUAAUGAGCAAAGCAGCUGUGGCUUCUAAUCAGCCCAUCCCUCCAGGGUGUCAGAUGGAGGCCAAUUAGCGGACGCACUAGACAACCAAAUUCUGCCUUUCCAAGCAAAACAUCAGAAAAUGUUCUAGCCCUUAGCAUUGAUGCUGGAACCCAGUGUCUUGCUUCUGCUUGGGUUUUCAUGAUCUUUCCUUGCUCUGGGUGAGCUGGGG
rnacentral:lncRNA from 1 species